GGGCGAAUGGCGCAGUUGGUAGCGCGCUGAUUUUGCAUAUCAGAGGCCCAGGGUUCAAAUCCCUGUUCGUCCA